UUAAUAAAAAUUAAUUUAGGUUCUCUAUUUAGAGAUUAAAAGGGAAAGAGGUGGAAAUCCUCUGCAGCCCCCGCUACUGUAAUGGUGGACGAAAUCUGGUAUAUAACACUGUGACUUAUGUCAUGGGAAGUUCAGAAAGUAGGAAGAAGCCAGAGCCAGGAGACCUGCCUAAAUAAAAAAUCUUCG
rnacentral:ncRNA from 2 species